AUUGAACGCUGGCGGCAUGCCUUACACAUGCAAGUCGAACGGUAACAGGUCUUCGGAUGCUGACGAGUGGCGACCGGGUGAGUAAUACAUCGGAACGUGCCUAGUAGUGGGGGAUAACUACUCGAAGGAGUGGCUAAUACCGCAUGAGAUCUACGGAUGAAAGCAGGGGAUCGCAAGACCUUGUGCUACUAGAGCGGCCGAUGGCAGAUUAGGUAGUUGGUGGGAUAAAAGCUUACCAAGCCGACGAUCUGUAGCUGGUCUGAGAGGACGAUCAGCCACACUGGGACUGAGACACGGCCCAGACUCCUACGGGAGGCAGCAGUGGGGAAUUUUGGACAAUGGGCGAAAGCCUGAUCCAGCAAUGCCGCGUGCAGGAUGAAGGCCUUCGGGUUGUAAACUGCUUUUGUACGGAACGAAAAGCCCCGGGUUAAUACCCUGGGGUCAUGACGGUACCGUAAGAAUAAGCACCGGCUAACUACGUGCCAGCCGCCGCUGUAA
rnacentral:rRNA from 1 species